rnacentral:rRNA from 1 species
GAUGAACGCUGGCGGCGUGCUUAACACAUGCAAGUCGAACGGUGAAGCAGGAGCUUGCUCUUGUGGAUCAGUGGCGAACGGGUGAGUAACACGUGAGCAACCUGCCCCUGACUCUGGAAUAAGCGCUGGAAACGGCGUCUAAUACUGGAUAUGUGAUGUGACCGCAUGGUCUGCAUCUGGAAAGAAUUUCGGUUGGGGAUGGGCUAGCGGCCUAUCAGCUUGUGGGUGAGGUAAUGGCUCACCAAGGCGUCGACGGGUAGCCGGCCUGAGAGGGUGAACGGCCACACUGGGACUGAGACACGGCCCAGACUCCUACGGGAGGCAGCAGUGGGGAAUAUUGCACAAUGGGCGGAAGCCUGAUGCAGCAACGCCGCGUGAGGGAUGACGGCCUUCGGGUUGUAAACCUCUUUUAGCAGGGAAGAAGCGAAAGUGACGGUACCUGCAGAAAAAGCACCGGCUAACUACGUGCCAGCCGCCGCAGUAA